GGGAGUGAGGGAACGUUGAGAUGUGUGUUUGGGGUUGCGAGACAAAGAUGGGGUGGCGGCUGGGGUGAAGGGUAACUGGGGAGCCACCAGGGAGGAAGUAUAAUGGGGGUGCAGAGUUUGCGGCUCUGUGUAGGGUGUAGGGAUGUGGGUCACGGAAUUGGCCCCGGGAAAUAGGAGGGAGGGGGUGAGGAAGAGCGCUUGAUUUACCAGCUGGGACUGUUAGCUGGAUGAGCUCUGACUAGGGAAUUAGGUUUACGGGCUCUGGUUGAGAGACCUGGGGUCCUGACAACUCCGCAGGCAAACUGCGCUCUAGGUGAGCGUAUAGUUUUUGUUUCUGUUUUUUUCUUCUCAUUAAGAUGCAACACCAAGAGAAAAUAAAUGGGGGGUGUUUAAAUGAGCCAAGGAAGGAACUUUCCUCCACAUCUAGCGCUGGCUCAAGUUUUUCUCCUCCAAAACAUUGAAUGGGAUCCAUUGCUGGUGCUGAGAUAGAUAUGCACUGAUUAAACCACAAGUUCUGGUCAUAACCAUUAUUUUAGGAGAGAUAUGUUGACUGAGCGGGUUAGGCAGCAGAUUCUGACUUCUUCCAGAACUUCCUCCUUACACACACACUGCUUGUCGUUGGGUUCUACUUUUUUUGGUAACAGAACCUGACUCCUUAUUAUGGAACCUGACUUUAAACUUGUUAGAUGAGCUGCUUUGGUCACUUUUUUUUUUCUUUUUUUUUAGCAAGUGUGAAAAAUAACCCCACUUUAAGUUUGGCAUUUGAGAGAAUUUUACUUCCUUAUAGUUGUGUCUGUAUAGUGAAACAUAGUAGUUAGUCCCAAGUAUUUAAAAGUGUUUAAACAGUCUAACGGUUCGUUCCAGAGAAUUCAAUAUUUCCUUGCUAUUUUUCACAUUUAUUAAUAACUUAUUUUUGCAAAAUUCAUUCUGCAGAUGAAAGGUGAUUAUUAGAAGGAUCAGGCAUAGCUUGUAAGAGAAUGGUGUUAUUUCCUCCAGAGUAAAAUUGUUUUUCUUUGGUGCCUCUCUGGGCCUAGAUUCCUCUUCUGUAAAGUUCUUCAUGGAUUGUUUUGCACUAGAAACAGCUAAUAAAAGUGACUGUGAAGCACUUGGCAAAUAUAAAUGUUCUAUAUAAAUUCUUAAUAAGUCCCGUGUAUGAGUUAGCACUCCUGUAGUGCAUACCAGUGGUUUCAGAAGCUACUUUUUCACUGCUGGUUUUUCUCAUGUUAAGUAAUUGGUAUGGUAAUUAAUAAACAAGUAUUUGUAUGUUGAUUAUAUUGGUGUUAUAAUGCUAAUUUCAUUAUUAGAAAUUGUAAUAAAACCAUUAAAGAAAGUUAGGCAUAAAGGAAAUUUUAAAUGCAUUGACGCCUUGAAAAUAUAUAUGGAAUAUAUUCAAAAGCCGAAGAUUGUAGGUUUGCAUUUUAGGGAUUUAGAGUUAAUGACUUAAAAAGUUUCUACUGGAAUGAAAAAACAUUUGCAUUUCUAAUUAGUUUCUCAUGGUAUCAACAUGCGAUGUAUCAAAAUCAUAUUGAUUAGAGACCUCUCCUUAAAAAUAAUAAACUUUUUAUCAAACUUUUGAGUCUAUGUAACGUAGUCCUUAAAAUAAGAUUUCCCUUUAAGUCUUUCUCAUUCAUCUCUUUAAAGAGUGUGUAUUGAAUUAUGAUUUCUUCCGCAGAAUGUUUAAUUAUUUGGGAAGUAUAAAGACCUCUCAGUUUUGAGUCAAUGCUUUUCAGGUUUCGGUAGUUUCAAGGAAAGUAGGCUUCUAGCUUUUCCAUUCUAGCGUUGGGAAAGGAAUGUUUUAUUCUUGUGUUGCUUGUUUUGGAAAAUGAUUUUUAGUACUUUUUGCCCCAUAUCACAUAUUACUGGUUGUGCUGAAAUGAAAGUAGUUCUUUCUGAUGUAUUAGUCCAGUAGGUUCAUACUGCUUUCUAGAUUUUCUGACUAAUUCUGUGGUGGUGUUAGAUUGCACCGUCUCUUUUACUCUUGCUGUUUAGAGCAUAGAUGUUCUCUUUUUUCACUUUAUUGUUGAAAGCCUUAAAUGUAUCACUAACCCUUCUUGACUUUAUGCCAUAUGAUAUAAGUGGAGAAGAACUUAGUGUCAGAUCUAUAGAUGUCCCACACAUUUAUUGACUUUAGCUCUAAGUCACCAUCUCAUAUCUGUUUUAACCUUGUCGUUGAAGCUAGGUGAAUAUUAUCCCAGCCUAUUAUUAAUCAGUUUAUUGGUUUAGCCCUGGGAACUGUCUCCUCUUCUCCAAUAUUGGAUGUAUACGGAUGGAGAAGUUGGCAUAAGUCAUGGGUUCUGGUCAACAUAGGCCCAAUUUACUAUUCCAUUGCAGAACUUAAACUCAUUCUUGGAAAAAUGCUUGUGCUAGAAUGCUUGCUAUUAAACAGAAGAUGUGGUCAGCCUCUAGGUUUUUUUUUUGCCACCUCGGUAUAUUGUAAUUAACAUUUGUGAGGAUACUUGUAUGUGAAGAAAGUGGCUAGUAAGUAAAGAGACAGCAGGGCAGGGGAGUGGAGAGAGCAAUCAUAUAAAUUGCCUUGAAUGUAAAUGUAGAAGUAUCAAGGUAUUUAAUUUAGUGAGAGACUCAAAAUUCCGUUAUGAAGUAGAGUGGGAGUUGGCAAACUUUCUGUCACAGGACAGAUAGUAAAUACUUUAGGCAUUGCUGGCCACAUAUGCAGUCCUAUAUUAUUUUUUUUUUAAAUAAAUUUAUUUUAUUUAUUUAUUUUUGGCUGUGUUGGGUUUUCAUUGCUGCACACGGGCUUUCUCUAGUUGCCGCAAGCAGGGUCUACUCUUUGUUGCAAUGCGUGGGCUUCUCAUUGCGGUGGCUUCUCUCAUUGUGGAGCACGGGCUGUAGGCACGCAGGCUCAGUAGUUGUGGCUCAUGGGCUCUAGAGCACAGGCUCAGUAGUUGUGGUGCAUGGGCUUAGUUGCUCCGCGGCAUGUAGGACCAGGGAUCGAACCCUUGUCCCCUGUAUUGGUAGGCGGAUUCUUAACCACUGCACCACCACGGAAGCCCACUAUAUUCUUCCUGUUGUUUUUACAACUCUUUAAAACUGUAAAAGCUGGGCUUCCCUGGUGGCGCAGUGGUUGAGAGUCCGCCUGCCGAUGCAGGGGACACGGGUUCGUGCCCCGGUCCGGGAAGAUCCCACAUGCCGCGGAGCAGCUGGGCCCGUGAGCCAUGGCCGCUGAGCCUGCGCGUCCGGAGCCUGUGCUCCGCAACGGGAGAGGCCACAACAGCGAGAGGCCCGCGUACCGCAAAAAUAAAAUAAAAUAAAAUAAAAGCCAUUCUUAUCUUGCAGGUGUACAAAAAAGGCUGCAGGCUAUAGUUUGUCCACCUCUGAAGCAGAGCAUCAUGCUGGCAGUAUUUUAGGUCCAUGCUAUGUUUUUAUUUUAAAUUAGCUUAUGUUAGUAAAACCUUAAGGUGUUCGUUUUUUUUUUUUUUUUUCCCUCCCGUAUGGUACGCGGGCCUCUCACGGCUGUGGCCUCUCCCGCUGCGGAGCACAGGCUCCGGACGCGCAGGCUCAGCGGCCAUGGCUCACGGGCCCAGCUGCUCCGCGGCAUGUGGGAUCUUCCCGGACCGAGGCACGAACCCGUGUCCUCUGCAUCGGCAGGCGGACUCUCAACUAUUGCGCCACCAGGGAAGCCCAGGUGUUCAUUUAUUUAAUGGACUAUAAUUUAUGGGAAAAAUGCUUUCCUUUAAAGCAUGGGUUUAAAAAAGCAUUGUAAAAAGAUAAUCCUUCUGCUACCUACCUUCUCCUGCUUGCCCUAAAAAAAAGCACCUUAAGUAACUUCCUGUAUUUUGGAAAUAAGAUGCACUUAAUAGAAUUUAUGAAUCGGUGUAUUUCAUUGGACUCUUUUCUCCCUUUCUUCUUACCUUUCUUCCUAUGCUUGCAUGCUCACUAAAUCAGGAGCAUAGUAGUGCUAGGUGUAAAUUCUUAUAUUCCAGGAGAUUACAUUAUAGUGAUAAGUGACUGUGUGUUCAAAGUGAUAUGGGAUCUCUUAAGUUUAAACAUCAUGUACAUAUUUCUUCUCUAUCUUAACCUCUGAAGAUUGUAAACUCCGCGAGGACAGCAACUGUAAUCUCUUUAUCUCCUGCAGUGUCCAGUCACAAGGCCUUACACAAUAGUAAGUGCAUUGUAAAUAUUUGUUAAACUGCUUUGUGUGCCCCAAAGGAAUUCUGAAAGGAAAAGGUAUGGGGGUGGGAAUCAUUUUUAAUUACAUUAAACUUAUUUCUUUCUUUCAGUAGUUCUUUGGCGGUGUCAUCCCUAUUUUAUGCAUACUUAGCCUCAGAGAGGUUAUGUAACCUAGUGAAUAGGGGAGCUUGACUUGGAAUCCAGGAUUACCCACCUCCUAAGGCUUAGUUAUUUCCUCCGUACAGUGACUUCUCAGGUAUACAACAAAGUCUUGAUGACAAAAGUCAUUUUUCAGAAAGUGACCUGUGUAGGUAUACAACAGCAAUUCUCACACACGCACACACACACUCUCACACCCGCCAUUCACACACUCAGGCAAAGUAGAUGUUCUCUUGAAUGAUGUUAACGUGGUGUUUAACUAGUACCAUUAAAAGAAAUCUCUUCUUUUAAGUUAAGGGUUUGUGUCUCUUCAAAUUAUGUGGACUGGUUACUUUGCAUGGUUAUCAUGGAAGUUUGUACACGUUAUUCUCCCAUUGCACUUAAUUCAUGCCAUUCAGCUCUGAUGGCAGCUGUCCUUGAUGAAACAUCUGCAGUGCGGUGGGGGGGCUCUCAAUACAAUAAAUGUGGGCAUUUCAUCUUGUAACACCCACCAGGUGGUGCUGGUUCAUGUUAUGUUUCUUCUAAAAAUUGGAAACCCUUUCUGUUGCUAUUGUAUUAAUAAAGUAGGUGUUUAUUUUCUGGUAGUCAGCCCCUUCCCAAUUUAAUUUUAACUCUAGGAAUUUUAGUCACCCAGGAAUUUGUGAUUAAAAAUAAAGGUAUUGGGAUUCAUUAAAAAAAAAAGUGAUAGCAUUUACCACUUUUUAUUUCAUCUGUCUCUCCCUCCACUAGAGCUCUUCAGGAUCAAGGCUUUGUCUUUUUUUAAAAUUUAUUUUUGGCUGCACUGGUUCUUCGUUGCUGUGCAUUGGCUUUCUCUAGUUGUGGCAAGCGGGGGCUACUCUUCGUUGCGGUGUGCGGGCUUCUCAUUGCGGUGGCUUCUCUUUGUUGCGGAGCACGGGCUCUAGGCGUGCGGACUCAGCAGUUGUGGCUCGUGGGCUCUAGAGCGCAGGCUCAGUAGUUGUGGCGCACGGGCUUAGUUGCUCCGUGGCAUGUGGGAUCUUCCCGAACCAGGGCUCGAACAUGUGUCCCCUGCACUGGCAGGCGGAUUCUUAACCACUGCGCCACCAGGGAAGUCCCAAGACUGUCUUAACAUCAGUUCCUGUGCCUAACACAUAGUACGUGCUGAAUGAAGUGCAAACAUUUUAACAAAGUAAAAUGAGAUCAAAACAUGUUCCCACAUUUUCUAUGUGAUUAAUUAGGAGGAUCAGGUAGGGAAUCUUUUUUUUUUUUUGAGUGUUGAAUUAAAGUAACAUUUACUAAAAGUAGUUUUACCUUUUUUGGUUAUAAGGGUAAUAUACAGUCAUUGUAAACAAAAAGGUUGUGUUGUUUUCAUGCCUAUUAAAAAUUCCCCCAAGGGAUGUAAAAUUCUCCCUAGUUCCGUAUGAAAUGUGAGCUCACUGAGCAUUUCAUGUGAUUCAUGAUAGAAAUUUUGAAGGGUAUAUGGAAUAAAAGUAGGGUUAGGCCAGGGAAGAACGUAAUCUGCCCUGUUCAUUUCAUGGCUUUGGUUGAAGUUUUUGGUGACCCUUGCUGUAGUACAACCUGUUUUUAAUAUGUUGUUUGUUGGCUGUAUACACAUGGGCAGAUUGGUCCCCAAGUCUUCACUUUCAGUGGAGUUCAUGUUAUAGUCAAACAUACAGAUAAUGCUUAUACUAUGAAAAUCACCCCCCUAAUAACUAACCUAGAGCAUUAAAAGAAAAAUGGACUAAGCAUUAGUUUGAAAACUGAGUCUAAAUUUCAAUCACAUUUUCCAAUGAAGUUGUUAAUUCUGAUCUUAGAAUUAAUUCUGAUUGUUAGGUUUGUUGGAAGAGGGGGAUUAUAACAAGCAAGUCAUUGUGAAAUGUUUUCAUGAUUAGCACAUUUUGUGCUGGAAGGAAAUAGGUGGGAGUAGUCAACCAGGAGCACUGGAAGCCAGCCUCAGCUCUGUCCCCACAAUGUUCCUUCCUGCAGCAGCUUCCAAAAGGAGGAGGGGAAAGGGGUGCAGUGAUGGUAUUGGUGGUACACACCCACUGGGGAUUCAAGCCCUAGGAGAUGGAAUGUCACUGCCAUAGAAACUCCUAAAUCAGCAAUGACCCUGGGUCUCCCCUCUGCAACUUUUGGGAUGGGUGGCGAGUCUUGCUUAGCAGACUCCUCUGCCUUGGGUGCCUUCUUACAGCCACCACUGACCUUCCCUCUUGCUCUGGGAUCAACCACAAGAAAUCUUAAAAUGAGGCCAACUCACUGCUACUUCAUUGAGGGGGAUGGGAUACUAAUUCCUGCCUCCUUCUUUCUUAGACCUACUUUGAAUAGCAGUACACAGGUGUAGCACUCUUUGUGAAAAACAAUUUAUGAACCAUAAAAUAUGCAGAACAAAAAUGUAAAGGUCUCCAUUUACUCUCAUACCUCAAAAUGACUGCCCUCUCCAGAGGUAACCAGUGUCUACUGUUUGGGGUCCAUCCCUCCAGUCCCUUUUUCUAAGCAGCUCCGAGAAGGCUGGAUGGAUAGCAUUGCCCUUGAAAGAUUUAUGACUUGAGCAAGUUGUUGCCUUUUUAGCAUUUACUCACUAAGACUGAUAACCGAGUUCUAAUAAUUCCUUAUAUUGCUGAGCAGUUUAUAAUUUCACAUCUGAUACAGCAGAAAUUUCAAAAUAAUGUGUCUUAUGAGAAAGAAACAGAUUCAGAGAGUUUAAGUAACAUAAACCACCCAACUAAUACUUUUAUUUUUUUAUGUGGAUCUUGAACUGCUGUUCAGACUCUAAGUGAUUAUUUUUUUAAAAGAUUAUUUAUUUAUUUAUUUUGGGCUACAUUGGGUCUUCGUUGCUGCACGCGGGCUUUCUCUAGUUGCGGCGAGCGGGGCUACUCUUCUUUGCAGUGCGGGGGCUUCUCAUUGUGGUGGCUUCUCUUGUUGCGGAGCAUGGGCUCUAGUCGCACAGGUUUCAGUAGUUCUGGCACGCGGGCUCAGUACUUGUGGCUCGUGGGCUCUAGAGCGCAGCCUCAGUAGUUGUGGCGCACGGGCUUAGUUGCUCCACGGCAUGUGGGAUCUCCCCGGACCAGGGCCCGAACCCGUGUCCCCUGCGUUGGAAGGUGGAUUCUUAACCACUGUGCCACCAGGGAAGUCCCUCUAAGUGAUUCUUAUAAGCCAGUGCCUCUCAGACUUUAACAUGAAUUCAGAUCAUCUGGGGAUCUUGUUAAAACAUAGAGUCUGAGUAGAUCUGAUGUAGGGCCUGAGAUUCUGUGUUGCUGACAGGGAUCACACAAGUAGCAAGGCCCCAUACCACAGUUGCUUUUUUUUUUUUUACAUCUUUAUUGGAGUAUAAUUGCUUUACAAUGGUGUGUUAGUUUCUGCUUUAUAACAAAGUGAAUCAGUUAUACAUAUACAUAUGUUCCCAUAUCUCUUCCCUCUUGUGUCUCCCUCCCUCCCACCCUCCCUAAAAGGUGUUAAUUAUUAUGUUCUUAAAUUUGGAAAGUAAUACAUACUUAUAAAAUUACACAUUUUUAAGCAAAAGUGGGAUUUUUAAACAAAAACGCUUCUAGAAUUAAAAAUUUUUUUUGCUACAUUAUGGAGAUUAUCCAUGUUAAUACUACAUGUAGGUCUCCCUGAAUAAUUAUUUUUUAUAAAUUUGUUUAUUUAUUUAUUUAUGGCUGCAUUGGGUCUUUGUUGCUGUGCGCGGGCUUUCUGUAUUUGCAGUGAGCAGGGGCUACUCUUCGUUGCAGUGCGUGGGCUUCUCAUUGCGGUGGCUUCUCUUGUUGCAGAGCAUGGGCUCUAGGCAGGUGGGCUUCAAUAAUUGUGGCACGCGGGUUCAGUAGUUGUGGCUCACGGGCUCUAGAGUGCAGGCUCAGUAGUUGUGGCGCACGGACUCAGUUGCUCUGCGGCAUGUGGGAUCUUCCCAGACCAGGGCUGGAACCCAUGUCCCCUGCACUGGCAGGUGGAUUCUUAAGCACUGCGCCACUAGGGAAGUCCUGAAUUCUUUUUUUAAGGGGUGUAUAAGAUUUUAUAAUAUGGAUAUAUAUGUUUAUUUAACAAAUUCAUAUUGAUAGUCUUCUAGGUUAUUUCUGAUUUUUAAUACUAGAAACAAUGCUGCAGUGACUAUUAUGCAUGUGCUAAACAUUCUUUAGAAUAAACUUCUAGAAAUGAAAUGUACUGGGUCAAAGGAAUCAUACAUUAAAGUUUGAAAAGUAUAAUAUUGGCACAUUGCCUUCCAAAAAGUCUGCUUUCAUCCACAAUCCUUGUCUAGUUUGUUGAUUUAAAUAUGGUAGCUGAUUCCUAGUUACUUUAGGUGAAAAUUACGUUGGCACCUUUUCCACCAUCACACUUUCAUUAAACAUGAACUUUUUGCUGGGUGCUAGGGAGUUAAGGAUGACUCAGUCCUCAUACUUGCAAACUGGUGAUAUAACUGAAGGUGUUCAAAGGGAUCAGGGAACCCCCUGUGGGAAUCAUUAGGCAAAUCUUUACUUAAUCCUUGAGACCAGAGAGGAUUGGGACUGGGGAGGGACUAGACCAAGCAGAGAGCUCCACAAUAUCCUAAUUCACAGUUGUGCCUUAAUUAGGGUCUGACAUCCAAAAAUGAUGCUAAAGUCAUUUAAUCUCUUGUUCAUGCUAAGUAUUGGUUUGAAGUUGCACUGAUAAGUCUGAGAAGAGAAUUAUAUUUUCCUUUUAAAAACAGAAUCCCUGUAUAAAAACUGCAUGGUUAAGCUGUUAGCGCAUGUCGGUUAUUUAAUUUCCUACAUUGUACUGGCUGUAUUUUUUUUUCUGCAAUUAAUGUGAUAAAUGAAAGUAAUGAGAUUGGUAAUUAGUUGUAAGUGACAUAGUGCUUUAAAUAAAUAGUGUUGGGAGGUAUUUGAGAAGUGUUGGGUAGUAAUUACAGUUCAAGUCCCUGAAUGGGUUUUGAUAAAUCAGUAAUGGAGAAGAGUAAUUAGAAGUAAAAGACUUUUUUUUCUUGGAGCCAUUAUCUAGUGAUGAUAUGUUUCUUUUAAAAAAAGUAUGGGUUUCUGAUUUCUCUUUGAAAAACUGUCAUAAGUUUUCAUUUAAAAGCUUCACUGUGUAGUUACACUUGUAAAACUGUUAAAUCUCUUCAAAUUUCUGAGUUGAUUAGUUUCUAAAACUUGAAGCUUUAAGAAAAGAAAUUAAUUGAUCUAACUCUUAAUUUAUAGAGGGAGAGAGACCUAGAGAGAUGAGUAACUUGCCCAGGGUCACAUAGCCAGUUAAUGUCAGUCACCAGACUAAGACCCAGGUCUCUGGACUCCUACCCUGGUGUCCUUUCUGCUGUACCUCCUGUUCUCUUGAGCAACUGAUUCUUUUAAAACUGUAAUCAAAUUUUAUGUGUUUUAUGUAUAGCUCACCAUACUGAAUACUUGCUUUUGAAGCUUAGUGCUUAUUUUAAUCAUGCUUUUUAACAUAUGAAAAAGUUUGAAAUGAAAAAUGAUUCCAUGGAUAAGUUAAGGUCUACAGAGAUAAAAAUACUUAGUCAUUCACAGUCAUAUAUGCUUAUAGUUUUCUGCCUAGUUAGAAAUACAAUUCCUUAGUGUUAGAAAAGAUUCUGUGUUCAGAACAGAAUUAGGCAUAGGCACUGUUCUUUGUAACUUUUCUGUUUUUAAAAAUUUAGCAAUUUCCAAACAUAAUUUUACUCCUCUUUGUUGUAAUCAUAGCACUUUCCAAAUUUUUUCUAUUGACCAUUGAGCCCUUGGCAGAAGCAAAGGGAGGAGCUAGGCCAGUGAGGAAGCUAUUAUGAAUGGAGUAUAUAGCAGCUGUGCAAGGAUACUGUUGGUUUCCCAGAACUAAGCAUAUUUCUUUUUGACAUUGUUCUGAGUGAUGCUGUAAAUGUACAGGCAGAAGUAAACAAAAGGAAGGCAUUUUUGCUAUUGUAAGACUUGGAAAGCAAAAUAAAAUUGAGAACAGACUAAGCAGGAAAGUAUCUUUCGGAAAUUUUUUGGUGAAUUUUUUACGCUCAGAAUGCACAUUUGUGCUUUAGAGGUUAACUAAAACUGCCAAUUUAACAUUCACUGAUAAAGGCAGGUUCUUUUGGCUUUUGAUGUUUGUUAACUAUUGACUUGAAUUAUUCACAAAGCCUUUUGGAAACUUUUUCCCUAGAGGUUAUAAAUAUUUAGGGAAUUUUUUUUUUUUUCUUUACAGAAGAUUUUAAUGUCAAAAGAGUUGCUCUACCUAUAUACUUACUUUAUGGUCUGUGUUAGUGUUAAGGAGUGCUGAUUUCCCUGGUCAUGUGAUUGAUUUGUCUUUGAAAGAUCUUGAGAAAAGCAGAUAUUUAACCUACAGUUGAUCUUUACAAGGUCACAUUCUAAGGAGGGACAGAUAACAUUUGUGGAACGUACCUGAUAGUAGUUUGAAAAUGCGAACUAAUCAAGUGUUUGGGAGACAUUUAAAAACUCAUGAUAUUUUAAAUCUGUUAUGAGGGGUAAUAUGUUUUUUCAGGUCAUUGUCAUUAAUCAGCGUUUAUUUUAUUUUAUUAUUUAUUUAUUUAUUUAUGCGGUACACGGGCCUCUCACUGUUGUGGCCUCUCCCGUUGCGGAGCACAGGCUCCAGACACGCAGGCUCAGUAGUUGUGGCUCACGGGCCUAGUUGCUCCGCGGCAUGUGGGAUCCUCCCAGACCAGGGCUCGAACCCGUUUUCCCUGCAUUAGCAGGCGGACUGUCAACCACUGCGCCACCAGGGAAGCCCAAUCAGCGUUUAUUAAUUGCUUACUAUAGGUUGGGCAGAGCAAUUUUAGUUUAGUUUUGUUGUUGUUGAAAGGAAGUAUACCUUUUUUUCCAGAGGUAUUAGGCGAAUAAUGCAUUUUAACCUGAAUUCUUAAUGUUAAUGCAUUUGCCUUUAAAUAGGAAGAAUAUAUUAUGGGUUGGCAUGUGUAGCUCUGGAUAUAAAUGUAAAUAAUUUGGGGGGAGCUCUGCUUGCUUUGGACCUUUGAAGGAGUGGAUACUGUAGUUUUUGCAGAUUGUUGGUCACCCUGUUCUUGGGUGGCCUGCUGCCUUUUCUCUAUUCCUUGGUUACCAAGUAGUCAGAGACUAUGCAGGUUUGGAAGGGUAGCUGUGGCAUGGCCAGAUGGUAGGAAUAAGGGUGUCAGUUUCUGGGAGUCAACAAAGGGUGAUGUGAGGUCUAACAUUCUGUCUUCAAUAGAUAAUUCCUGCCUAACCUGCAGUUAAACCUGGUCGAGUUGUAUGGAAAUGGGGAGGGAACUGGCAUUGAAUGUCUACUUUAUUGGAAACUCUGCAGUCCUUUCAUAAACAUUUAUUAUGAGGUGGGUAUUGUCGCUGUGUUACAGGUAAAAGAACUGAGGCUCAGAGGUUAAGAAAUUUACUGAAGGUAAAUGACUGAAACAGGACAUCCUGAUGUGGCUAUUUGGUGUAAUCUUGUCAAGAUACUAAAACAUUUUAAUUUUAAUUCAACACAUAAAAGCUUAUAUUUUAGUCUUCAUCAUACUGUCUCCUUGUUAAUUCCCUGAUACUCCACAUCUCUCCCUUAAUGACCCUCUUCACCUCGCUCUCUACACUUUAGUCUCACUGACCUUUCUAUUCCUCAAAUCCAAACCUAUUCUCAUAGGGCUGUUGGAUUAGUUGUUCCCUCUGUUUGGGCUACUCUUCUGCUGAUUCUACAUGACGGGCUCCUUCCUGUAAUUUUAACUCUUAGCCUAAAUUCACCUCAGAGAAGCUUUCCCUACUCACUGUGCUAAAGUAGUCAUCCAGCAUUUUCUUAUUAUUCUAUUUUAAUUGUCUGUAUAGAACCUGAUAUUUUUCUUGUUGAUUUCCUUUUUGUUGUUUAUUGCCUGAUUCCUCUCAGAUUCAGGGGUAUCGUAUUUUUACUUCUGUGUCCCAGUGCCUGACAUAUAUUUGUUGAAUGGAUACGUUGAGAAAAAUCAAAAUCAGGUGCAAUCUUCUUAAACGUACUGCCUUCAUAUCUCUGAAUCUGUAUCUGUCUAAACCUGUCCUCAUUCCCUUUCUGCCUGUUUUAAAGGAAGGAGGUGUCCCUUCUUUUAAUGGUAUUGGGUGUUUAGUGCUCUAGCUGUGUUGUAGAUCCCGUUUUCCAUUUUCUUUUAAUUUAUCUUUUUCUCUUCUGGUUCUUUUUCCAUAUAAAACAUGCUCAGUAUUCUCUGAAGAUAGAAACCUUCGAUCAUGUACCUCUUGUAGUCUUUGCUGAAUCUUGAUCUCUUAGUCUCAACAUCAGUCUCCCCUAACUCCCUCCAUGGACUAUUUAAGAACCUACCAUUUUAAUAUUUUUAUUAUAAAUAUAUAUUCUGUAAAAAUAUAUUCUGAAUAUAUUCUUCCAAAUGAGGUUUUGGAAUGUAAUACUUAUAAAUUGGGUACUAUUUAUUUUAAUUGGUAUGAGUUCUUAACUCUGUUGCAUUUAGAAUAUAGCUGUCUUCUGAGGUAGAGUCUUUUUUUCUUGACUGUGUUGUUCCCUUUUGGCUUGAAACCCUUGAUAGGAUGAGCAGCUUCCUAAAACACUGUUAAAACAUUCAUAAAUCAUAUAUUUUUGUUGAUUCAGCUUGUCUUUAUUUGCCAGGCUUAUAUAGGGCUCUUUUUCAAGAGUACAGGAAAUGAUGUACAGAGGAUAAAAUAUUUAGUUUAAAAAUUUUAAUACUGUCUUACAUCAUUUGAAGAGACAUUAGUAAUUAAAUUGGAAUUUUGCAAUUGUUCCAGGUGGACCUAGUGAUCCCACUUCUGGGGGAUCUAUCCUAAGGAAAUAAUCUGAUGUUUAGAAGAAUAAAAUGCCCAAAGAUGUUCAUCACAGCGAUACUUGUAAUAGCAAAGACUUAAAAACAGUAUAAAUGUUAAAGUGGAGGGGAUGGUUUAAGAUAUGGUAUGUCUAUAGAGUGGAAUCAUUUAGACAUCUUUAAAAAGUUUAUAAUGAGCUUUUGGUGAUGCAAGAAAAUAGGCAUUUUAAAAUAUUAAAGAGUAAGAAGUCAGACUUCUGCUUCUACCAUUGUUAGACUAGGCUGUUUCGAACCAAAUAAUACUGCUGGCAACUAGAAAAGCUAGAAGAUGUUGAAGAGCUAUGAAGGCAGUGAGGAAUUAGAGGCCAGGUUCUGGAAGAUAAGGAAAGCUCUGAGAGGUAAGCCUUAUUUUUGAGGCUGCCUUUUCCAUGAGGUCAUUGCUGAUUCUGGAAGUGAUAGCUGAGAGGCUGAAUAGAGUUUUCAAAAUGCUCAUGUCAAAAAAAAAAAAAAAUGCGCAUGUCAAGGAGGACAAAAAAUUGGAAUUAGGGCCUGCCAAGGUGGAGGGCCCUGGGAAACACUCUAGGUUUUGGGGUUGGGUCCCUGAGGGCCUGAAUUGUAGGAGUAAGGGUGAAACAGAAGUAAACCAGUCUUUACAGGGCACUGAAGACUGAAGCCCAGCUUUUUAAUCUUCUCAAUUUUGGGUUAGAUUAAGAUGACCUGGAAUUCCUAGUGUCCCUAGCCAAAUCUGACUGCUAGAAGCAAAAGUAAAUCCUUUCUGGGCUUCCCUGGUGGCGCAGUUGUUGAGAGUCUGCCUGCCGAUGCAGGGGACAUGGGUUUGUGCCCCGGUCUGGGAAGAUCCCACAUGCCACGGAGCGGCUGGGCCCAUGAGCUAUGGCCGCUGAGCCUGCGCGUCCGGAGCCUGUGCUCCGCAGCGGGAGAGGCCACAGCAGUGAGAGGCCCGCGUACCGCAAAAAAAAAAAAAAAGUAAAUCCUUUCUGAAUAACAUCAUCCGUAGCCUCAGAUUGUCUCUAUAAUUUUUUAUAUACAGUGUUCAGCACUCAAUAAAAAAUAAUUAGGCUUACGAAAAAACAAACUACAACUGAAAACCAACAGGAAAGAUUGAUAAAAGGUACAUACAGGGGAUACAGAUAUUUGAGAUAUCAGUCAUGGACUUAUAUCUAUGAUUAAUGUGUUAGAAGAAUUAAAGAUAAAAUAGAGGGCUUCCCUGGUGGCACAGUGGUUGAGAGUCCGCCUGCCGAUGCGGGGGACACGGGUUCGUGCCCCGGUCCGGGAAGAUCCCACAUGCCGCGGAGCGGCUAGGCCCGUGAGCCAUGGCCGCUGAGCCUGCGCAUCCGGAGCCUGUGCUCCGCAACGGGAGAGACCACAACAGUGAAAGGCCCGUGUACCGUAAAAAAAAAAAAAAAAAAGAUAAAAUAGAUAA